CUACUCUUGACAUCCACGGAAUUGUGCAGAGAUGCGCAAGUGCCUUCGGGAACCGUGAGACAGGUGCUGCAUGGCUGUCGUCAGCUCGUGUUGUGAAAUGUUGGGUUAAGUCCCGCAACGAGCGCAACCCUUGUCCUUUGUUGCCAGCGCGUAGAGGCGGGAACUCAAAGGAGACUGCCGGUGAUAAACCGGAGGAAGGUGGGGACGACGUCAAGUCAUCAUGGCCCUUACGAGUAGGGCUACACACGUGCUACAAUGGCGUAUACAAAGGGAUGCGAACCUGCGAGGGAAAGCGGAACUCAGAAAGUACGUCGUAGUCCGGAUUGGAGUCUGCAACUCGACUCCAUGAAGUCGGAAUCGCUAGUAAUCGUAGAUCAGAAUGCUACGGUGAAUACGUUCCC
rnacentral:rRNA from 1 species